rnacentral:rRNA from 1 species
UACGUAGGGUGCGAGCGUUAAUCGGAAUUACUGGGCGUAAAGCGUGCGCAGGCGGUUCGUUGUGUCUGCUGUGAAAUCCCCGGGCUCAACCUGGGAAUGGCAGUGGAAACUGGCGAGCUUGAGUGUGGCAGAGGGGGGUGGAAUUCCGCGUGUAGCAGUGAAAUGCGUAGAGAUGCGGAGGAACACCGAUGGCGAAGGCAACCCCCUGGGCCUGCACUGACGCUCAUGCACGAAAGCGUGGGGAGCAAACAGG